rnacentral:rRNA from 1 species
AAAACGACUCUCGGCAACGGAAAUCUCGGCUCUCGCAUCGAUGAAGGACGUAGCGAAAUGCGAUACUUGGUGUGAAUUGCAGAAUCCCGUGAACCAUCGAGUCUUUGAACNCAAGUUGCGCCCCAAGCCUUCUGGCCGAGGGCACGUCUGCCUGGGUGUCACAA